rnacentral:rRNA from 1 species
CUCCAAUAGCGUAUAUUAAAGUUGCUGCAGUUAAAAAGCUCGUAGUUGAAUUUCGGGGUCAAUAUGUUGGUCGUGCCUUGGUACGUACUAGCUUAUUGAUUUCUCCUUUCUGACGAACCAUGAUGUCAUUAAUUUGGUGUCAUGGGGAAUCAGGACUGUUACUUUGAAAAAAUUAGAGUGUUUAAAGCAGGCUCGCGCUUGAAUACAUUAGCAUGGAAUAAUGAAAUAGGACGUUUGAUCCUAUUUUGUUGGUUUCUAGGAUUGACGUAAUGAUUAAUAGGGAUAGUUGGGGGCAUUAGUAUUCAAUUGUCAGAGGUGAAAUUCUUGGAUUUAUUGAAGACUAACUACUGCGGAAGCAUUUGCCAAGGAUGUUUUCAUUAAUCAAGAACGAAAGUUAGGGGAUCGAAGACGAUCAGAUACCGUCGUAGUCUUAACCAUAAACUAUGCCGACUAGGGAUCGGAUGAUGUUAAUUUUUUAAUGACUCAUUCGGC